GACGAACGCUGGCGGCGUGCCUAAUACAUGCAAGUCGAGCGGACUUAAAAAGCUUGCUUUUUAAGUUAGCGGCGGACGGGUGAGUAACACGUGGGCAACCUGCCUGUAAGACUGGGAUAACUUCGGGAAACCGGAGCUAAUACCGGAUAAUCCUUUUCUACUCAUGUAGAAAAGCUGAAAGACGGUUUACGCUGUCACUUACAGAUGGGCCCGCGGCGCAUUAGCUAGUUGGUGAGGUAACGGCUCACCAAGGCGACGAUGCGUAGCCGACCUGAGAGGGUGAUCGGCCACACUGGGACUGAGACACGGCCCAGACUCCUACGGGAGGCAGCAGUAGGGAAUCUUCCGCAAUGGACGAAAGUCUGACGGAGCAACGCCGCGUGAGUGAUGAAGGUUUUCGGAUCGUAAAACUCUGUUGUUAGGGAAGAACAAGUACGAGAGUAACUGCUCGUACCUUGACGGUACCUAACCAGAAAGCCACGGCUAACUACGUGCCAGCCGCCGCGGUAAGAC
rnacentral:rRNA from 1 species